AGUGAACGCUGGCGGUAGGCCUAACACAUGCCAGUCGAACGGCAGCACAGUAAGAGCUUGCUCUUACGGGUGGCGAGUGGCGGACGGGUGAGGAAUACAUCGGAAUCUACUUUUUCGUGGGGGAUAACGUAGGGAAACUUACGCUAAUACCGCAUACGACCUACGGGUGAAAGCAGGGGAUCUUCGGACCUUGCGCGAUUGAAUGAGCCGAUGUCGGAUUAGCUAGUUGGCGGGGUAAAGGCCCACCAAGGCGACGAUCCGUAGCUGGUCUGAGAGGAUGAUCAGCCACACUGGAACUGAGACACGGUCCAGACUCCUACGGGAGGCAGCAGUGGGGAAUAUUGGACAAUGGGCGCAAGCCUGAUCCAGCCAUACCGCGUGGGUGAAGAAGGCCUUCGGGUUGUAAAGCCCUUUUGUUGGGAAAGAAAAGCAGCAGGUUAAUACCCCGCUGUUCUGACGGUACCCAAAUAAUAAGCACCGGCUAACUUCGUG
rnacentral:rRNA from 1 species